GAGGAAAAGGAAACCAACUGGGAUUACCUUAGUAACGGCGAGUGAAGCGGUAAAAGCUCAAAUUUGAAAUCUGGUACUUUCAGUGCCCGAGUUGUAAUUUGUAGAAUUUGUCUUUGAUUAGGUCCUUGUCUAUGUUCCUUGGAACAGGACGUCAUAGAGGGUGAGAAUCCCGUUUGGCGAGGAUACCUUUUCUCUGUAAGACUUUUUCGAAGAGUCGAGUUGUUUGGGAAUGCAGCUCAAAGUGGGUGGUAAAUUCCAUCUAAAGCUAAAUAUUGGCGAGAGACCGAUAGCGAACAAGUACAGUGAUGGAAAGAUGAAAAGAACUUUGAAAAGAGAGUGAAAAAGUACGUGAAAUUGUUGAAAGGGAAGGGCAUUUGAUCAGACAUGGUGUUUUUUGCAUGCACUCGCCUCUCGUGGGCUUGGGCCUCUCAAAAAUUUCACUGGGCCAACAUCAAUUCUGGCAGCAGGAUAAAUCAUUAAGAAUGUAGCUACUUCGGUAGUGUUAUAGCUUUUUGGAAUACUGUUAGCCGGGAUUGAGGACUGCGCUCG
rnacentral:rRNA from 1 species